rnacentral:rRNA from 1 species
UGGGGAAUAUUGGGCAAUGGGCGAAAGCCUGACCCAGCGACGCCGCGUGGGUGAUGAAGGCCUUCGGGUUGUAAAGCCCUGUCAUGCGGAAAGAACAGUCUUGUAGUGAAUAACUGCAAGAUUUGACGGUACCGCAGGAGGAAGCACCGGCUAACUCCGUGCCAGCAGCCGCGGUAAUACAGAGGUCCCAAGCGUUGUUCGGAUUCACUGGGCGUAAAGGGUGCGUAGGUGGCGGUGGAAGUUUGGUGUGAAAUCUCCGGGCUCAACCCGGAAAAGGCAUUAAAUACUCCAUCGCGCGAGGACUGGAGGGGAGACUGGAAUUCUCGGUGUAGCGGUGAAAUGCGUAGAUAUCGAGAGGAACACCAGUGGCGAAGGCGAGUCUCUGGACAGUCCCUGACACUGAGGCACGAAAGCUAGGGGAGCAAACA